UGACUUCUAUGUGUCUUAGCACUUGUAGGAAUUAGCACCUAUUAACUCAUUUCCAAAUUGAAAGUAUAAAGCAUAAGUCUCAGCUGAAACAAAUGCAGUAGAUGUCACUGUUUCAAAAAAGGUAUGCUGAAGAGCAAAUGCAGAAAGAAGCUUUAGCUAAAGUAGAAUAGGCCUGCGGCAAGAAACACGGCUUUUUGCCUCCCCUCCGACAGGGCUCCACCUAGAGACAGAGACUUUCCACCGUUCCCUGUGGGUCUAUGAGUCUAUCAAAACCGCUUCGUAGGGCUUCUAUUCUAGGCCGCCUCGUUCAAAAAAGAUGAAACCCUUUCUCACGAAGUGUGACCCGAAGCCUCACUUUCACUUGAGUAGAAUUACGGAUUCACCGAUCCAACAAGCUCGGCUGUCUUUCCGACAUCGACACAAUUCGCUCUUUCUUUACUGUAGCCUAAUCGUAUACCUUCACGCAAGAGGAAAUCAAAGACAACUGCUCGCAUCUCGCCAUCUUAUUGAUGCUGCACCGAGCUGAUGUAUGCCAAAGUCUAGUUCGUUCUGCUUAUUUGGUUGGUGAAAGAAAGCAUUGUAUUCUUGUCCACAUUCCGGUUACUGAGACUACUGCGUUCGGGUGUACUUGAGAAAGAGAAUGAAACUCCUAAGGUUAUAAGCAAGCCGAGUCAGACAAGACGCAGAGGAGACUCCCCAAUCCCCUCCUUGUUUAAGUAGCCAACUAAUAAUGAAUAAUGAUCGAUUGUAUCUGUGCAUUUGAAUACGGCAUCAUCUAUGGGAAUGAUACAGGGGGGAGCGAAAGGAGAGUGAUACUGAAAAGGGAAAAGCCAACCAAGGAAAUCCAAUUCCAUAUCGGGGGGAGUCUAGAGAGGCGGCAGAAAGCUUUUAUUUAGAAGAACGGUAAGCAAAGCAAGCCCCAUACUUUCUCUUUGUUAGUUGUCGGGUGCUAAAACCAAGUUUGAAACCUAUACUCCAUUAUGACCUUUCUUUCACCAACCCUAGAAACUUCCUUCCUAAGAAUAACUUCCUAUAGAAUGCAAUGCGUGGGAGGAGCCCGGCCCGGCACUCAUAAAGUCCAGCAAAGUGGUCGUAAUUGGCUAUUGCCCCACCGACUCCAUUUUCGAGCACUACUUGUUAGGGCCUUUUAUCGCUUUGAAUAGCCUGUGUCAGUGUCUUCUUGAUCAACGCUAACCUUCCAAAAAAGAAAGACCAAGGGCCAGCUUCAUAUACCUUAUGGAUUUGCAUCUCAUUCCUUUACCUAACGGGCAAGAGAGUCAUUCUCAUUUCUUUACCCCUCCAUUAAUUUCUGUCAUUUCUUUGAUGCACCAUAUGCCUUAUUCGACUAGAAAGAAGAAAGAAGGAAGACUUAUGAACUGUGGCUUUAUUCUGAUUUGCAUCUGCGCACUCCUGUGAUAUAUGCUUGUAAGCGCUUCCAUCCCUACCCGCCGUCCUCGACCGCUUUGUUGCGCGCUUUUACCUUGCUUCAACUCAAUCGACUCCUCUUCUGUCCAUCAAUGAUAGGAAAGAAAGUAGAACAGGCUUGCUCAC
rnacentral:lncRNA from 1 species